rnacentral:rRNA from 1 species
UGCGCAGGCGGUUUUGUAAGCCAGAUGUGAAAUCCCCGGGCUCAACCUGGGAAUGGCAUUUGGGACUGCAAGGCUUGAGUAUGGCAGAGGGGACUAGAAUUCCUGGUGUAGCAGUGAAAUGCGUAGAUAUCAGGAGGAAUACCGAUGGCGAAGGCAGGUCCCUGGGUUAAUACUGACGCUCAUGCACGAAAGCGUGGGGAGCAAACAGGAUUAGAUACCCUGGUAGUCCACGCCCUAAACGAUGUCAACUGGUUGUUGGGGGUUUGACACUCUCAGUAACGAAGCUAACGCGUGAAGUUGACCGCCUGGGGAGUACGGCCGCAAGGUUAAA